rnacentral:rRNA from 1 species
GACGAACGCUGGCGGCGCGCCUAACACAUGCAAGUCGAACGAGCGAGAGAGAGCUUGCUUUCUCGAGCGAGUGGCGAACGGGUGAGUAACGCGUGAGGAACCUGCCUCAAAGAGGGGGACAACAGUUGGAAACGACUGCUAAUACCGCAUAAGCCCACGGCUCGGCAUCGAGCAGAGGGAAAAGGAGCAAUCCGCUUUGAGAUGGCCUCGCGUCCGAUUAGCUAGUUGGUGAGGUAACGGCCCACCAAGGCAACGAUCGGUAGCCGGACUGAGAGGUUGAACGGCCACAUUGGGACUGAGACACGGCCCAGACUCCUGCGGGAGGCAGCAGUGGGGAAUAUUGCACAAUGGGGGAAACCCUGAUGCAGCGACGCCGCGUGGAGGAAGAAGGUCUUCGGAUUGUAAACUCCUGUUGUUGGGGAAGAUAAUGACGGUACCCAACAAGGAAGUGACGGCUAACUACGUGCCAGCAGCCGCGGUAAAACGUAGGUCACAAGCGUUGUCCGGAAUUACUGGGUGUAAAGGGAGCGCAGGCGGGAAGACAAGUUGGAAGUGAAAUCUAUGGGCUCAACCCAUAAACUGCUUUCAAAACUGUUUUUCUUGAGUAGUGCAGAGGUAGGCGGAAUUCCCGGUGUAGCGGUGGAAUGCGUAGAUAUCGGGAGGAACACCAGUGGCGGAGGCGGCCUACUGGGCACCAACUGACGCUGAGGCUCGAAAGUGUGGGUAGCAAACAGGAUUAGAUACCCUGGUAGUCCACACCGUAAACGAUGAUUACUAGGUGUUGGAGGAUUGACCCCUUCAGUGCCGCAGUUAACACAAUAAGUAAUCCACCUGGGGAGUACGACCGCAAGGUUGAAACUCAAAGGAAUUGACGGGGGCCCGCACAAGCAGUGGAGUAUGUGGUUUAAUUCGACGCAACGCGAAGAACCUUACCAAGUCUUGACAUCCCUUGACAGGCAUAGAAAUAUGUUUUCUCUUCGGAGCAAGGAGACAGGUGGUGCAUGGUUGUCGUCAGCUCGUGUCGUGAGAUGUUGGGUUAAGUCCCGCAGCGAGCGCAACCCUUAUGGUCAGUUACUACGCAAGAGGACUCUGGCCAGACUGCCGUUGACAAAACGGAGGAAGGUGGGGAUGACGUCAAAUCAUCAUGCCCUUUAUGACUUGGGCUACACACGUACUACAAUGGCGUUAAACAAAGAGAAGCAAGACCGCGAGGUGGAGCAAAACUCAGAAACAACGUCCCAGUUCGGACUGCAGGCUGCAACUCGCCUGCACGAAGUCGGAAUUGCUAGUAAUCGUGGAUCAGCAUGCCACGGUGAAUACGUUCCCGGGCCU